GAUGAACGCUGGCGGCGUGCCUAAUACAUGCAAGUCGUACGGAAAGGCCCUUCGGGGUACUCGAGUGGCGGACGGCUGAGUAACGCGUGGGAACGUGCCCCAAAGUGAGGGAUAACGCACCGAAGGUGUGCUAAUACCGCAUAUGGUCUUCGGAUUAAAGCUUCGGCGCUUUGGGAGCGGCCCGCGUACGAUUAGAUAGUUGGUGAGGUAAUGGCUCACCAAGUCGACGAUCGUUAGCUGGUCUGAGAGGAUGAUCAGCCAGACUGGGACUGAGACACGGCCCAGACUCCUACGGGAGGCAGCAGUAAGGAAUCUUCCACAAUGGGGGCAACCCUGAUGGAGCAACGCCGCGUGCAGGAUGAAGGUUUUCGGAUCGUAAACUGCUUUUAUAAGUGAAGAAUAUGACGGUAACUUAUGAAUAAGGAUCGGCUAACUACGUGCCAGCCGCCGCCGUAA
rnacentral:rRNA from 1 species